rnacentral:rRNA from 1 species
UACGUAGGGUGCGAGCGUUUGUCCGGAAUUAUUGGGCGUAAAGAGCUCGUAGGCGGCUUGUCACGUCGAUUGUGAAAGCCCGAGGCUUAACCUCGGGUCUGCAGUCGAUACGGGCUAGCUAGAGUGUGGUAGGGGAGAUCGGAAUUCCUGGUGUAGCGGUGAAAUGCGCAGAUAUCAGAAGGAACACCGGUGGCGAAGGCGGAUCUCUGGGCCAUUACUGACGCUGAGGAGCGAAAGCGUGGGGAGCGAACAGG